rnacentral:rRNA from 1 species
AGGACGAACGCUGGCGGCGUGCUUAACACAUGCAAGUCGAACGAUGAAAGAGGAGCUUGCUCCUCUGGAUUAGUGGCGAACGGGUGAGUAACACGUGAGCAAUGUGCCCUUGACUCUGGAAUAAGCGCUGGAAACGGCGUCUAAUACCGGAUACGACCUUCGGAGGCAUCUCCUGAAGGUGGAAAGAACUUCGGUCAAGGAUCAGCUCACGGCCUAUCAGUUAGUUGGUGAGGUAACGGCUCACCAAGACGACGACGGGUAGCCGGCCUGAGAGGGUGACCGGCCACACUGGGACUGAGACACGGCCCAGACUCCUACGGGAGGCAGCAGUGGGGAAUAUUGCACAAUGGGCGCAAGCCUGAUGCAGCAACGCCGCGUGAGGGACGACGGCCUUCGGGUUGUAAACCUCUUUUAGCAGGGAAGAAGCGAAAGUGACGGUACCAGCAGAAAAGCACCGGCUAACUACGUGCCAGC